AGUGAACGCUGGCGGCAGGCCUAACACAUGCAAGUCGAGCGGCAGCGCGGGGGCAACCCUGGCGGCGAGCGGCGGACGGGUGAGGAAUUCGUCGGAAUCUGCCUUUUUGUGGGGGAUAACGUGGGGAAACUUACGCUAAUACCGCAUACGUCCUACGGGCGAAAGUGGGGGACCGCAAGGCCUCACGCAGAAAGAUGAGCCGACGACCGAUUAGCUAGUUGGUGGGGUAAAGGCCCACCAAGGCGACGAUCGGUAGCUGGUCUGAGAGGAUGAUCAGCCACACUGGGACUGAGACACGGCCCAGAGGACUACGGGAGGCAGCAGUGGGGAAUAUUGGACAGUGGGCGCAAGCCUGAUCCAGCCAGGCGGCGUGUGUGAAGAAGGCCUUCGGGGUGUAAAGCACUUUUGUCCGGAAAGAAAUCCCUGGAGCUAAUACCUUCGGGGGAUGACGGUACCGGAAGAAUAAGCACCGGCUAACUUCGUG
rnacentral:rRNA from 1 species